rnacentral:rRNA from 1 species
UACGAAGGGGGCGAGCGUUGUUCGGAUUUACUGGGCGUAAAGGGCGCGUAGGCGGCUUAACAAGUCACUUGUGAAAUCUCCGGGCUUAACUCGGAACGGCCAAGUGAAACUGUCAAGCUAGAGUGCAGAAGGGGCAAUCGGAAUUCUUGGUGUAGCGGUGAAAUGCGUAGAUAUCAAGAGGAACACCUGAGGUGAAGACGGGUUGCUGGGCUGACACUGACGCUGAGGCGCGAAAGCCAGGGGAGCAAACGGG